rnacentral:rRNA from 1 species
AACACGUGAGAAUUUGCCUUUAGGAGGGGAAUAACAAUUGGAAACGAAUGCUAAUACCCCAUAUGCUUUUAAUAAGUGAAAUGGAUUUAUCCGCCUAGAGAGAAGCUUGCGGCUGAUUAGCUUGUUGGUAAGGUAAAGGCUUACCAAGGCGACGAUCAGUAUCUGGUUUGAGAGGACGAUCAGACACACUGGAACUGAGACACGGUCCAGACUCCUACGGGAGGCAGCAGUGGGGAAUUUUCCGCAAUGGGCGAAAGCCUGACGGAGCAAUACCGCGUGAGGGAAGAAUGCCUAUGGGUUGUAAACCUCUUUUUUCAGGGAGGAAUAAAAUGACGUGUACCUGAAGAAUAAGCAUCGGCUAACUCCGUGCCAGCAGCCGCGGUAAGACGGAGGAUGCAAGUGUUAUCCGGAAUCACUGGGCGUAAAGCGUCUGUAGGUUGCUUAAUAAGUCAACUGUUAAAUCUUGAGGCUUAACCUCAAAAUCGCAGUUGAAACUAUUAGACUAGAGUAUAGUAUAGGUAAAGGGAA